rnacentral:rRNA from 1 species
AUUGAACGCUGGCGGCAGGCCUAACACAUGCAAGUCGAACGAGGCGCGGACGGGUAAGUAAUGUCUGGGAAACUGCCCGAUGGAGGGGGAUAACUACUGGAAACGGUAGCUAAUACCGCAUACUAGGGGAUGUGCCCAUAUGGGAUUAGCUAGUAGGUGGGGUAACGGCGCACCUAGGCGACGAUCCCUAGCUGGUCUGAGAGGAUGACCAGCAACACUGGAACUGAGACACGGUCCAGACUCCGACGGGAGGCAGCAGUGGGGAAUAUUGCACAAUGGGCGCAAGCCUGAUGCAGCCAUGCCGCGUGUAUGAAGAAGGCCUUCGGGUUGUAAAGUACUUUCAGCGAGGAGGCGUUACUCGCAGAAGAAGCACCGGCUAACUCCGUGCCAGCAGCCGCGGUAAUAC